UGUCCACUGUUCUGUAAAUGCUGCUAAUAUACCUCUGUCGCUAGCAGACGCAUGUCUUUGCAUUCGAUUGGUUGAACGGCAUUUCGUUUGCUGAUGGAGAACACCUUUGUUUUAAUUUGUAUUUUGUCAUCGGUUGUUAUUUGUUUUGUCUGUUACACUGAACUCUAUAAUGGGGUCUGUUAUUUGAUUUGAUUUUGUAAGGUAAAGAUGGAAGGCACUGUGACUAUAAAUAAUGGAAGGUAGGUGUUGGUUUGGUACCUUGUUUUUAAAACUUAUUUUUUUCCUGAGAUUUUGCCUGUGCGAGCACCAGGCUGGGUGAUUUUGUGUUUUAGAUCCUUUUCUGAAUUCUGUGGUUCAGUUGAGAUUCAAAUCAAAAUAGGUAAAAGGCUCGUUGCUGUCGGCGGUUCUGACUUCUGAAGACAGCGGUUCGAUCCAGCUGAAGGACGUCACCUGGCAGGAAGUUGCAGAGUGUGGUGGCCAGUAUCAAGCCACAUUGUCCAGAAACCAUCACAUUAUCUCCAGGUCACUAGUCGCCGGUGCUCGAGCUGACGGCGUCGUUCAAGGGCUCCACGGUGACAAGCGCCGUCACCGCUGCCGCCGCCGCCGAGACCAUCCGACUCCUGGGCCCUGUUUCACGGCAGCGUACUGCAGCGCGCUACGCAGCGCUGCUGUGUUAGUGCGGCGAUUGAGACGAAUUCGGCUCGACGCUCCAGCGUUGCGAAACACCCGUGUCUAUGAAGGAUACGCCGAUACGUCCCCCAGCUUCAAGCCCUUCCCGCCCCCCCCCCCCCCGCCCGUCCCAACGGUGUUGGCCGAGAUUGGGGUUUGGUAUUUUAACGGGCUCUCCGAUGACGUCCCGCAAUUUGUGUUAUGUAAUUUGACGAUUAUGUCGUAGUCUCAUUCUGUCUCGAUAUGCUAAUAAAUGAUAAAUGGGACGGAGGUUGGAUUAGUAAGGUGUGAGUGGCUGUAACCGGCAGGUUCUGGCGAGCGCGAUAUUAGUUAUCGUGAGCGCGCCAGCUGCAAUCAAUCGCGCGCUUCUGGCGAGAAAAUACUUGCUCUGGAACCUAGAAGUUUGUCGUGAAAUCUAUGUACCUUUGGAUUGAAUUAUUAGAACAUAAUGUACUUUCGGUGUCCAGCACUGCAGCUCUGGAAACAGAAAUAUGGACGUUGGCUGUUUGAUGUAGCAAGGGCUAACAAUCCGCGUCAAGAAUCAAAAGCUGUAUGCAAAUUAAAGUGAAUAUAUUUCAAUGAAUUUUUAAAUUUUGUGAUACAAAACAUAAAA